GACGAACGCUGGCGGCGUGCCUAAUACAUGCAAGUCGAACGCAGUGGGGACGGGUGAGUAAAACGUGGGUAACCUCCCAUCAGAGGGGAUAAAACUUGGAUACAGGUGCUAAAACCGAUACGGAUGGAUGGACCCGGGGUGCAUUAGCUAGUGGGUGAGGUAACGGCUCACCAAGGCCACGAUGCAUAGCGGGCCUGAGAGGGUGAGCGGCCACACUGGGACUGAGACACGGCCCAGACUCCUACGGGAGGCAGCAGUGGGGAAUCUUCGGCAAUGGACGAAAGUCUGACGGAGCAACGCCGCGUGAGUGAAGAAGGUUUUCGGAUCGUAAAGCACUGUUGUUAGGGAAGCGUUAUCUAACCAGGAAGCCACGGCUAACUACGUGCCAGCAGCCGCGGUAAUAC
rnacentral:rRNA from 1 species